AGCCACACCAGCAUGGUAUCAGCUCCCUGGGUCUCUCCUCCCACUGACGGACACCAAACCAGAGGGGCCAGGUGACAGGCUACACACUGUGACAAGCAGUGGAGGCAAGAGAUGGCUGCUGCUAAGGAGUCAACUCUAACUACAGCUCAGCAGUUUCACAGUCUCGAGGGGAGGGCAAGCGGAAAUUACCAAGCUUAACUGAAACCAGGAGAUGGGAAACGGCCCAGUGGACUUUCUCACAAGGCUGCUUAUCUCUCUCUGUUCCUGGAGGAACAGGCACCCCCACCCCGGACUGUAAUUAGGCCUUGCUGCUGUGCCCUGCCAGGAGACAGGCAAGGUCAGGGCACCAGUGCAAAGCUGCCCCCUACAAGGAUUAUCAACAAUAUAAUCGCUGUUAUUCUUGGUAAGGUUAAAACGGCCACUUCAGCAAUCAGAAAAAAUUAAUCAAUUUCUAGAUCCAGCUCUGAAAAAGUUAAAAGCCCAAUACUGUUUUAAUUCCCCUCCCUCCACACACGUGAAUCCAGAAUCUCAAUGACACAAGCACAGGGGAAUUAAGCACCUGAGAGACAGGACAAGCCUCUGUUGAACCACCCACUGGGUACUAGGUGCUGCGCUAGAAACCAGAGCCUGGACUCCUGACUGUGACUCUGUAUCCCUUUACUGCACCCUUCUUGUGUCCGGAUCCCUUUCUUUUCUGUCUUCCCAAAAAGGUAAAGAUAUAUGGUAUAAAAUUGAAUAAAAGCUAGUACAACAUAGCUUUCCUGUACCACUCGGCUGAAGGAAGGUGGGAUGGGUGGAAAGCUCUUAAAAAAAAAAAUUUGAGUUCAUUUUUACUGAUGACAAACAAAUUUAUUAUCAUAAUCACUGAUAAGGCAGCUAUUAGGCUGCCUUUCCAAAGAGGCACUGAAACUUUCUCAAGAAAAGAAAAAAAAAAAAAAAAAAACACCUAAUUUCAUCAUUAGUAUCUUAUGAAACCUAUCACUACAAUCAUUGCAUACCCCUUUGUUAAACUUUGGUCAUAGGAGUAUCAUUCUUGAUUCUUUUCUCUAAUUUUUUCCCUCAAAGUCCUUUGCUAAAUUCAUCCCCUUGCUAAGAACCUGUGACACAUGAAAGAGGCGAAUCAAAACCAAGUUUUCUCCAUUGUCUCAGGUCUUUUAAAAACACUGAUCACAAUCAACCUUAAAAUGGCAACCACUAGAACAAACAACAAAGGCCCAGCAACACAGCACCAUUAAUUCAAGUGGGACUUUGCACAAAGUAUUGAGAAAUAUUAUUUUUAAGUCUUUAAAAUGUACAAACUCAGUGCUAGGAGCUUAAUUCUAGGAACUGCUUCAUAACAUUAGCAAACAGUAUUUACUCAGUACUGACUACUCUGCCCAAAGCUCUAUACACCACAGCAUCAUGUACAUCUCUGAUGGCCUCUGAGGCAAAGCAGGUGACUGAGGAGUGACCCUCAACCUAGCUACUCCACAGGUAAUGACCUACUACUCUGCACUGUUUCUCCAGACAAAUGUGGAAGGCACAGGUAUGCACAAAAAUUUAGCUACAAAAUACUUUAAAAAUUGAUAAAAUUCUUUUCAACAUCAGCCUGACCUUUCUCCCUAAAGUUCAUCUCAAAGCCCUACCCGCCCUGAUAUGCAGUUCCAACACACUGAAUUUGCUCUCACAAUAAGCUCCUAAGUAUUCUCAGAAUCACUAGACAGACCCCAGUUCACUUCAGAGAACUCUCAUUUAGAAGGCGCUCAAGAUGUCAUGUAGUUGAACACUAAAGUUACUAUGCCACUAUUAUCCUGAUUUGUUGCAAGUCAUUUUCAGUCACUCUUUCUCUUUCCCCAACAGAUAUUACAUCAGGCAUAAAGCAUCUCAAAAUAAAACAUGAGAAAUGAUAAGGGUGCAGAAGCGGAGAGCGAGCACAACACUGAAUGACUGGGACAUGAGGAGGAGGAGAUCUUUCGAACUGAAUUAUCAACCUCAAAAUUUCAAGAAUUUUUUAAUUUUAAGGUCUGCCUUUUAUUGUAUUAAGAUUACGACUUGUAAGAUCACUUCUUAAAUUCACCAGGUUCAACCUGGUUGCACACAUGUAAGUUACAAACAACAUUAUUGAGUCUCACUGCAUAUAUGACAAAUAUCACCUAGGUACCCCAAAUGCACUAUUUCUAACCUUCACAAUAAACAAGACAAGUAUCUCCAUUUUACAGAUAAGAACUCAAGCUCAAAGGUAGGUAGUUUAUUCAAGGUCUCAAGAGUGUAAAUGGCAAAACAGCCUAGUUUCCAAUCUUACUGAGACUUUCUAAUUGCUAAAGCCCAAUCAAUUUUAACUUUGCUGUCUCUCCACGUCACACUGGACCUCUCACAAGAAGCUACACUCAACAGUGUGUCUUCUUCUGCUCCUUCUUCACUCACUGCCCAACCACGCACUUUCCUUCUGUCCAAUGGUAAACACACACAUCCCUGUGACCCACCCCUCGCCGCCGGCUCUUCCCCACUCUCCCUGGGUCAUUCUAUCUAUGGUCAAGGGUUCUCAGGUUUCAGUCCCCCACUAUCAAGCUUGGAUAAACUCACUAUAUCCAAAAUCUAGUGCCUACAUUGGAAGUGCCAAGUGGAAACUCCCUUUAUUUUUCCCCCUCCACCAUCCACCAGGCUUCUGACAUUUUAUCUGAGUCUGACCCGCAGUGUCAUGACUUAAACAUCUGGUAGCUGAGGUGCAACGGCCACAAUAUAAACUUAAGAGCCAAGAAUAAUGCUUUACUUCCCUUAUGUUUCACAUCGAGUUUUAUUUGCUCUAAAUGUUUCUUAAAUCUGCCCCUUUUGUCCAUUUCAACAACUGCUCCUUCACUACUCCUACGUGUAUUUACUGCAAUUUAUCCUACACAGCAGUCGAUCUGUUUAAAAACAAACAUAUGUUUAAAAACAAACAAACCAACAACCCCACACCAUUUGUCUGCUUUAAACCCUUCUGGUUUCUAUGAUGAAAUCCAAGGUCCGUAAUUCAGCCUAUAAGACCCUUCCCAUGAUUCCCAGCCUCUAUCUACCUUUCCAGUACUCCAUGACUUUAGUGCCUAAGGAAUUUCAUGUUCAAGUCCAUAUUCAUCUCUUUACUCCACAUUAAGACCAUCUGCACCUCUCCCUUUAUUCUGGCAGGGGUGGGGGCACUCCCUCCCUGGGUCCGCACGUAUCCUCCUAUGGAGAGCCUGACAGUCUCCUAUCUUUAUCUGCCACUCAUUCUUCAAGAGAACUAAGGUGUUGAGCUGUCCAGGAUGCGUCCUUUUCAGUCCCAUCACUAUCACGGAAUUUGCCACACUGCAUUACUACCUACUUACCCAUCUACCCAUCUUCAGGCCAGACUGAGAUCGUGGAGGGUCAAUCGUCUCUCAGAGUAACAGCUCUUGGCAUAGUGCUCGGCACUUCUCAAACGCUCCCUAAGUAUUAGCUGAAUGAGCUAACCAACACAACUUGUAGAUAGACAACUACUUCUGCCCAUUCCCACGGCUGUGAAACCUAGACCUUUCACUUGUCUCUUCUGCAUGAUUAGACCAUAUUAAGCAGUGCCUACUGCAAGAGAUACAGGUUCGAUCCCUGGGUCAGGAAGAUCCCCUGGAAAAGGGAAUGGCUACCCAUCCAAUGCAAAGAAAUAGAGGAAAACAACAGAAUGGGAAAGACUGGAGAUCUCUUCAAGAAAAUUAUAGAUACCAAGGGAACAUUUCAGGCAAAGACAGGUUCGAUAAAGGACAGAAAUGGUAUGGACCUAACAAAAGCAGAAGAUAUUAAGAAGAGGUGGCAAGAAUACACAGAAGAACUGUACAAAAAAUAUCUUCACGACCCAGAUAAUCACGAUGGUGUGAUCACUCACCUAGAGUCAGACAUCCUGGAAUGUGAAGUGAAGUGGGCCUUAGAAAGCCUCACUACUAACAAAGCUAGUGGAGGUGAUGGAAUUCCAGUUAAGCUAUUUCAAAUCCUGAAAGAUGAUGCUGUGGAAGUGCUGCACUCAAUAGGCCAGCAAAUUUAGAAAACUCAGCAGUGGCCACAGGACUGGAAAACGUCAGUUUUCAUUCCAAUGCCAAAGAAUGCUCAAACUGCCGCACAAUUGCGCUCACCUCACACACUAGUAAAGUAUUGCUUAAAAUUCUCCAAGCCAGGCUUCAGCAAUACCUGAACCAUGAACUUCCAGAUGUUCAAGCUGGUUUUAGAAAAGGCCAAGGACCCAAAGAUCAAAUUGCCAACAUCUGCUGGAUCAUCGAAAAAGCAAGAGAGUUGUAGAAAAACAUCUAUUUCUGCUUUAUUGACUAUGCCAAAGCCUUGGACAGUGUGGAUCACAAUAAACUGUGGAAAAUUCUGAUAGAGAUAGGAAUACCAAACCACCUGAUCUGCCUCUUGAGAAACCUAUAUGCAGGUCAGGAAGCAACAGUUAAGAACUGGACAUGGAACAACAGACUGGUUCCAAAUAGGAAAAGGAGUACGUCAAGGCUGUAUACUGUCACCCCGCUUAUUUAACUUAUAUGCAGAGUACAUCAUGAGAAACGCUGGGCUGGAAGAAGCACAAGCUGGAAUCAAGAUUGCCAGGAGAAAUAUCAAUAACCUCAGAGAUGCAGAUGACACCACCCUUAUGGCAGAAAGUGAAGAGGAACUAAAAAGCCUCUUGAUGAAAGUGAAAGAGGAGAGUGAAAAAGUUGGCUCAAAGCUCAACAUUCAGAAAACUAAGAUCAUGGCAUCCGGUCCCAUCACUUCAUGGCAAGUAGAUGGGGAAACAGUGGCUGACUUUAUUUUCUUGGGCUCCCAAAUCACUGCAGAUGGUGAUUGCAGCCAUGAAAUUAAAAGACGCUUACUCCUUGGAAGCAAAGUUAUGACCAACCUAGAUAGCAUAUUAAAAAGCAGAGACAUUACUUUGCCAACAAAGGUCUGUCUGGUCAAGGCUAUGGUUUUUCCAGUGGCCAUGUAGAGAUGUGAGUUGGACUGUGGAGAAAGCUGAGCACCGAAGAAUUGAUGCUUUUGAACUGUGGUGUUGGAGAAGACUCUUGAGAGUCCCUUGGACUGCAAGGAGAUCCAACCAGCCCAUCCUAAAGGAGAUCAGUCCUGGAUGUUCACCGGGAGGACUGAUGCUGAAACUGAAACUCCAAUACUUUGGCCACCUCAUGCGAAGAGUUGACUCAUUGGAAAAGACCCUGAUGCUGGGAAAGGUUGAAGGCAGGAGAAGAAGGGGACGACAGAGGAUGAGAUGGUUGGAUAAAACCACCAACUCAAUGGACAUGCGUUUGGGUAAACUCUGGGAGUUGGUGAUGGACAGGGAGGCCUGGCACGCUGCGAUUCAUGGGGUUGCGAAGUGUCGGACAGGACUGAGCGACUGAACUGAACUGAACUGAACCCAUCCAGUAUUAUUGCCUGGAGAACUUCAUGGACAAAGCAGCCAGUGAGCUACCAUCCAUGGGGUCGCAAAGAGUCAGACAUGACUGAGUGACUAUCGGCAGGACACACAGGAAUUCAGUGUAAGGUGGAUGCUAGGUCUACCCCCUCCUCCCUUCAUACAUGCUAAUGGAAGUGUGCCUCCUCUAUCAACUUGGAACUAUAUAACUGCUCUAAUUCUCAUUUCAUCUCUGGAUUUCUUCUCUGCUAUUCAUGUGAAGUUUGCUAAAUCCUUCUAAAUAUUUCUCCCAUACAUACUGUUCCUAUAAGUCUUAAGCUUUCUAGUGAGUGGCCAACCAUUACUCUUUGGAGGUAUCCUUUGGUUUCGCAUGUAAAUAUUAUCUCAGAGAUGUCUUAGUUUUUUUAAACGCUCAUAUGUUGAUAGUUAUUCGAGAACUAAAUCUUUACAAUUAAGGAUCUUGUUCCAGACCAAAAAACUGGAUUUUAUGUAACUGAAAUUUCCUCCAACACAAUUAUGUGUACUUGGUGUUCAUACAAUCACUGAUACUUCUAAGGAAAAAUCAAAGCAUUGCGUGUGUUUUAAAGGAACAGCAGUGAAGGGACUCUUUGGGUAAUGCUUCCACGGCAAUAUUAGUUUUCUAUUCCCUGACCUCUUAAUGAUUUGCUUUUAGAAACAAGUCACACUGCAGAGAAAGUUAAAACCUCUGCACAAUCAGUACACAAGAUAAACUUGUCUUGGGAAAAUUCAACAUUCAGUAAUUGUCCUGCCUCAUGGGCACUUUCAGAACAUGCACUUAAGAGCCAAGGAAGACUGCUGGUUAAACAGGUAGAGUCAGCAAGGCAACUCUGGAUGAGAAAGAACACCCAGAGCAUCAGAAUACCAUAGUCUUGAACCGGAACAAAACCCUACACUUUAAAACCAAAAUUUCAUGAUUAGACCAUAUUAUCCCAAGCCAUUUCCUUGGCUUGGGACUAUGUGCACCUAGUCUUAGAUCAAAAGAUAACUGGAGCGGUGUCUCUUCUACAUUGGAUCAAUGCAAAAGUAAAAGCAAUUACUGUCUUCUCAACAGCAAGUACACCACAAGGGGAAACAAUAGACUUGCACCAAAGUGUGCUACACAGAACUACACAGCAAAAUGAAUAUACAGUUCAAUUCCCUGGUGGCUCUGAUGGUAGAGAAUUAGCCUGCAAUGUGUGAGACCUGGGUUCGAUCCCUGGGUCGGGAAGAUCCCCUGGAGGAGGGCAUGGCAGCCCACUCCAGUAUUCUUGCCUGGAGAAUCCCCAUGGACAGAGAGGAGCCGGGCGGGCUGCAGUCCACGGGGUCUCAGAGUCGGACACGACUGAGCGACUUGGCACAGCACAGCAAAAGGAAGGAGUCGGCUUUGCUCGGGAUGGUGGUUACACAAGUGAACGCACGCUUCAAGACCCAUCUCACUGUACACUUAAGCUAUUGUAUUUUGCUUUUUACACCUCAAAAAAAAAAAAAAAAAGAGAGGCUCAAGAAGGGAAAAGCGACCACGACAUCACUCAACAGCAGGAACACACGGAAGUUCAGCGCCUGGUUUUCGAGUGUUUUUCUUUAUCCCCGAGAAUUUGGGUCCUACGUCUCCGACGCGACAGAGGCCAGCAUCCCUCGUCACCCUCGGGGGCCGACGCGGCUCCCCGCCCGCUCGGAACUGCACCCCCAACUUCCGGGACUCGCUGCCGCCGCCUCUCGCGCCAAAACGCGCUCUCUCCUCCAAGCCCUCCCAGGCCGGUCCCCACUGUCUUCCUUCCCAACCAACUCGCGGAGAUUCUCACAGAGUGCUUGGACCCAAGAGUCUGCAUUUUUAGUGAGCACCCCACAUGCUUCUCUUGGAGGCACUCCAUCAGCAACUGUUUGUGGAAAAGAAAAGUGGAUCAAAGCCACUCAAAUUACUGGGAACUGUCUCUGAGAAUGCACUGAAGCAACGAGGGACACACACACGUCAGUUGUCCACUUUAUCAAAGUUUCAGCAUUGCACACUCCAUGAACUUAGACGGAGAGAAACAAAGGUCAGCAUCAUAUCAGACUUCUUACCGGAAACCAUGCAUAGUAGAAGACAGUGGGGUGACAUAUUCAGAGUUUUAAAAGGGAAAAAAAAAAAAAAGGUGACCUAGAAUUUUGUAUCCAGCGCAGUUAUCCUUCAAAAGUAAAAGAGAAAUACAGAUCUUCUCAGAGAAGCAAAAGUAGACCUGCCUUGCAAGAAACAGUUUUAACAGUUCAUCAGAGAGAAGGAAAAGGAUAAGGGUCAGAAACUCAGAUCUACAUAAAGAAGAGUCAGAGAAGAAAUAGUGAAGAAUCUUAGAUUGCCCUUGGAAGCUGUUACUGUUAAUGGUGCUGACUGUUAUCUGAAUCCCCUACUCCUGGAAAACAGUGACAAUUAAGAGAUUUCUCAUACUUUGUGUUUGGAGAAAAAGCUCACUGCAAGGAACCCAUCUCCCCCGUAAGACUAAAUGAGACUUAUAGGAGUACCUUGAUUACUUAUGAAAAGGCCAGACACAGACCCUCCAAAUUUCCAUGCUUUAUCUCUUAAAUGAGCCGAACUAUUUUGUCCCCGCUGAUCAAUGGGAGCAAAUGUGUGUUAGUCAAACCUUGGUUAAACUUCUGUCAUGACAUAUUUUGAAAUGGCUACUACCUCACCCACCAGCCAAACAAGGGGAUUUUUCUCCCAUCUCCACCAUGAGAACCUGAUGGGGGUGCUGGAGAUAAAAUCCAUGAAAAUGUAGGGGAUCCUUGCUUAAUCUGUUAGCCCGUCGUCAGUGUCCAGCAGUGAGCUGUGGGAACCACAGAAGCCCUGCUCCUGGUCCCAGAGCUUCUGCUGUGCAGUCCUGUUUUUUCAGUCCUCACCUGUCUGUAGUUUUCAGGGUGUUGGCUUAUCCCGGGACCUCAAUUCUCUGAUGGAGCUAAGACAAUUCAUUGACUUUCAGUUUGUGCAGGUCUUCGCUGGUAGCUCAGACGGUAAAGAAUCUGCUUACAGUGCAGGAAACCUGGGUUUGAUUCCUGGGUCGGGAAGAUCCCCUGGAGAAGGAAAUGGCAACCCACUCCAGUCCUCUUGCCUGGACAAUCCCAUGGACAGAAGAGCCUAGUGGGCUACAGUCUAUGGGGUUGCACAGAGUCGGACAUGACUGAGCGACUAACACUUUCACGCUUUCAGUUUAUGCAGCUCUUUUCUCGUUCUGAGGGAUGGAGACAUGAGUUCCAAGCUUUUUGUUUUGUUUUUACACUUAAUUUUUUAACUCCCACAAGAAUCAUAUACCAGUAACCUAGGAAUUCACCUAUUUCUUUCAGAUAAUACAGCCUUAAAAAAAUGUGAGUGAGCUGUGACUCAUAUCUGGGUUUCUUUUCCCCAUGUAGUGUGAGCAAUCUUUUCUUUAAAAAAAAAAAAAAAAGUUGACAUAUACCAAAGAGUUCCAGAAAUUAGUGUUUCAGUACCAGCCUGUUCCUAGUUAGCCUUUUUUUUUUCUUUGUAAUGAGACAUUUUAAGAAUGGCCUUCCCUCCUCCUUUCUUUCCUUUUAGUCUUCAGUUAUUAAAUUAAAUGUAAACUCA